UAUGGUAAAAACUGAAAUUAGAUUCUUAUUAAAAUAAUAAUUUACAAACUUUCAGCCCCUUUAACCUUGCUGAGAAAACUUUCAUUGAAGGCAAACAUUGCAAACUAGCCAGAUUUUGUGAUGUUUUGCUUAUCGUAUUGUACUCACUCGCUCAGUGUUUAAACAUUUACUACAUGUUUCAGCAUUUUAAUCUAGGCCUUUUAAUCAGAUAUGGCCCAGUAUUAGUAUUUUCCCUUUUGGCAAGUGAAAUAAAACUGUCAGCGUCAACUAGUUGAUUUGUUUUUUUUAAGGUAAUUGCCACAUCGCUCAUUUCUGUGGCUUUGGAAAAAGAAAUUUUCGAACUGCAUAUGGUUUAUCGUUAAAUGUUUUGGCCACUGAAUUUCGUGGGAAAAAAUGCUCAAGCUAAACUUACUCGAAAAUGUCAGUUCAUAAAUCGCUGUAUAUCAUGCAGUUUGCUACUUUUUUGGAAGUCAGAGAGACUUGUUCAUUUGUGUUGAAGUUUUUGAGGAAUAUUUUGGGUAAUGGUCGCUGUUUCCUUACUACUUGUAUUUCGCAGCAACGCCAUUUCUUAAUUAUCAUUUCUUUAGAAUUUGUUUAUGCAAUUCUGGACGCGCAGAUUCAGUACUUUCUCAUUGAAGCGUAUUUGUUUGAAACAUUUCAAACUAAUGAUUUGAAAGGUUGGAAAUAUUUACAGGACGCUUGCUAUCAACAAGGAAUAGGACAAUCGUUACGCUUGUGCAUUGAAAACCACAUUGCUUUAAAAAAGUCUCUCUGUCCAUUUUAAUGAUAUCACUAUUUUUUAAUAAACUAACUAUAGGUUCAUGAAAAUGAGUCUGGAGUUUGUAUUGAUAGGAAUCCCGUUUUUUCUGGUGUUUGGGGUUUUACUUCUUAUCAGUUCAUUCGCAUUUAUCACAAAUGUAAGUUGAUUAAAAAUAGUUAACAGUCUGUUAAAAUAUAAGUUUGUAGUUUGCGGACACCAUGAGUAAUAUUUUAAAAAUACGAAUGCUCAUAUUUGCCACUUCCAGUGUGUGUAUCACAAUGGUGUUGUGUUGGACUGGUCAGCAACUCAUAAAUUUGACGAGCGAAAUCUUUUUGUCUUUGGGCGGAGCUCCUUAGUACUUUUGGAAUCGUGAUAACAUGAAAAUUCUUCUGAUGUUUCUAACCAAUUGUACCAUAAAUGAAAGCGUUGUUUUGGCUGGAAUUUGUAUAAACUACGAAUUUUUUCUUUCGG